rnacentral:tRNA from 1 species
UGGCGUGUAGGGGAACUGGUAACCCGCCUGGCCCUGACCCAGGAGAUUGGAGGUUCGAGCCCUCCCGCGCCAGCCG